UACGUAGGGUGCAGGCGUUAAUCGGAAUUACUGGGCGUAAAGCGUGCGCAGGCGGUUUGCUAAGACAGGUGUGAAAUCCCCGGGCUUAACCUGGGAACUGCGCUUGUAACUGGCAAGCUAGAGUGUGGCAGAGGGGGGUGGAAUUCCAGGUGUAGCAGUGAAAUGCGUAGAGAUCAGGAAGAACACCCGUGGCGAAGGCGGCUCUCUGGGACGGUACUGACGCUGAGGAGCGAAAGCGUGGGGAGCGAACAGG
rnacentral:rRNA from 1 species